UGAGACAGACGUGCCUAUAUGAGAAGUGAAUGGGAAGGAACCUGUACCUGAUAAUGCAGUUUGAACUACAGAAAGCAAGACAAUGGAUGAUGGAGUUGGUUGCAGUCCUCUGACUUCUGUACAGAUGAACUUUCCAGUUGGUAGUGAGCUGUUCUUGUGGACUCUUGGCCCUGGAUUUGUCCUGGAACACGGCAACAUCUAGCAUGGUCACUGAACACCUUACAGCAGAGAAUGUCUGCAUUGAACAUUUUCCAUAUUGCACCGAAACUGAAUUUCAGUCAGAAUGACCUGGAAAGAAGAGCUCAGGAUGGGGAAUCAGAAUCUG